CCUACGGGGGGCAGCAGUGGGGAAUAUUGCACAAUGGGCGCAAGCCUGAUGCAGCCAUGCCGCGUGUAUGAAGAAGGCCUUCGGGUUGUAAAGUACUUUCAGUCGGGAGGAAGGUGGUGAGCUUAAUACGCUCAUCAAUUGACGUUACCGACAGAAGAAGCACCGGCUAACUCCGUGCCAGCAGCCGCGGUAAUACGGAGGGUGCGAGCGUUAAUCGGAGUUACUGGGCGUAAAGCGCAUGCAGGCGGCCUGUUAAGUCAGAUGUGAAAGCCCGGGGCUUAACCUCGGAAUUGCAUUUGAAACUGGCAGGCUAGAGUCUUGUAGAGGGGGGUAGAAUUUCAGGUGUAGCGGUGAAAUGCGUAGAGAUCUGAAGGAAUACCAGUGGCGAAGGCGGCCCCCUGGACAAAGACUGACGCUCAGAUGCGAAAGCGUGGGGAGCAAACAGGAUUAGAUACCCUGGUAGUC
rnacentral:rRNA from 1 species